GCCUGGGUGGCUCAGUUGGUUAAGCUUCCGACUUCAGCUCAGGUCAUGAUCUCAUGGUUUGUGGGUUCAAGCCCCACAUCAGGCU
rnacentral:tRNA from 1 species